CACCAGGUUGAUUCUGCCUGACGUGGACGCUUGCCUCAAGGAUUAAGCCAUGCAAGCCAGCGAAGUUUAACGGAGCGGCGAACGGCUCAGUAGGACAGGGAUAUCUGACCACGGCAGGGGAUAACCGCGGUAAGCUGCGGCUAAUACGAGCGUGGGUGAGUUCCUGGCCUAUCAGCUAGGCGGUACGGUAAGUGCGUACCGCGGCGACGACGGGUAACGGGGAAUCGGGGUUUGAUUCCGGAGAGGGAGCCUGAGAGAUGGCUGCCACGUCCAAGGACGGCAGCAGGCGCGAAACUUACCCACUUGGAGGACCAGAGGUAGUGACGAGGCGUGAACCAUGAGGCCAGUGCAAACAGCUGGCCGAAAGCGACUGGAGGGCAAGUCUGGUGCCAGCAGCCGCGGUAAUUCCAGCUCCAGGAGCGUCUGUGUGCGUUGCUGCGGUUAAAACGUGCGUAGUCGGGCACAGGGCCAGCAUCAAAUGCGCAGUCUCUUGCUGUGCGGCGUGCUGGAACCUACGCCUAGGGACCGGAGCGGGGCAAUGGUAUUCGGCAGCGAGGGGUGAAAACCGAUGACCUGCCGAGGAGCGACAGAGGCGAAGGCGGUUGUCCGGGACGGGUCCGACGAUCAAGCGCGUGAGCAGGAGGAUCGAAGGCGAUUAGAGACCGUCGUAGUUCCUGCAGUAAACGAUGCCGACGGGGGCGCAGGCGCUGUGCCCCAAGGGAAACCGAGUGUAUGGGCUCCGGGGAUAGUACGGGCGCAAGCCGGAAACUUGAAGAAAUUGACGGAAGGACACCACAAGGAGUGGAGUGUGCGGGUUAAUUUGACUCAACGCGGGGCAACUUACCGGGGCAGGCAACACUGCGAGGAGGGGUGCGAUAGGAUCGUGCUCCUGAGGGUGUUGCGCGUGGUGCAUGGCCGUUCUUAACACGUGGGGUGACCUGUCUGGUUAAAUCCGAUAACGCGUGAGACCCUGGAUAGUGACGGCAUUCGAUGAGAGUGAGGAAGCGCGGGUCGAUAACAGGUCUGUGAUGCCCGUAGAUGUCCCGGGCGCCACGCGCACUACAGUGGGGGAGGCUGCGUGAGACGGGGCUCCCCUGUGGUGGGGAUCGGCGCUUGUAAGUGCGCCGUGAACGCGGAAUUCCUAGUAGCGUGCUGUCACCAACGGCAGGCGAAUGCGUCCCUGUUCUUUGUACACACCGCCCGUCGUUAUCUAAGAUGGAUGUGCGGAUGAAGGCGGCUAGGUCGCAAGAAUCCGUGCCACUAGAUUGGAUACAAGUCGUAACAAGGUAACCANCANGUUGNUUCUUC
rnacentral:rRNA from 1 species